UACGGGGGGGGCAAGCGUUGUUCGGAAUUACUGGGCGUAAAGGGCUCGUAGGCGGCCAACUAAGUCGGACGUGAAAUCCCUCAGCUUAACUGGGGAACUGCGUCUGAUACUGGAUGGCUUGGAUUCGGGAGAGGGAUGCGGAAUUCCAGGUGUAGCGGUGAAAUGCGUAGAUAUCUGGAGGAACACCGGUGGCGAAGGCGGCAUCCUGGACCGAUAUUGACGCUGAGGAGCGAAAGCCAGGGGAGCAAACGGG
rnacentral:rRNA from 1 species